CUACGGGCGGCUCCAGUGAGGAAUAUUGGUCAAUGGGCGCGAGCCUGAACCAGCCAUCCCGCGUGCAGGAUGACGGCCCUAUGGGUUGUAAACUGCUUUUCUAUGCCAAGAAACCUGAUUACGUGUAAUCAGUUGCCGGUAGCAUAGGAAUAAGCAUCGGCUAACUCCGUGCCAGCAGCCGCGGUAAUACGGAGGAUGCAAGCGUUAUCCGGAUUCAUUGGGUUUAAAGGGUGCGCAGGUGGGCUUGUAAGUCAGUGGUGAAAUGCUGCCGCUUAACGGUAGAACUGCCAUUGAUACUGCUAGUCUUGAGUAGGGUUGAGGUAGGCGGAAUGUGUUGUGUAGCGGUGAAAUGCAUAGAUAUGACACAGAACGCCAAUUGCGAAGGCAGCUUACUAAGCCAUUACUGACGCUGAGGCACGAAAGCGUGGGGAGCGAACAGGAUUAGAUACCCGCGUAGUC
rnacentral:rRNA from 1 species